CAGUCGCCGCGGUAAUACGAAGGGUGCAAGCGUUACUCGGAAUUACUGGGCGUAAAGCGUGCGUAGGUGGUGGUUUAAGUCCGUUGUGAAAGCCCUGGGCUCAACCUGGGAAUUGCAGUGGAUACUGGCUCGCUAGAGUGUGUCAGAGGAUGGUGGAAUUCCCGGUGUAGCGGUGAAAUGCGUAGAGAUCGGGAGGAACAUCAGUGGCGAAGGCGGCCAUCUGGGACAACACUGACGCUGAGGCACGAAAGCGUGGGGAGCAAACAGGAUUAGAUACCCCAGUAGUCCCUGUCUCUUAUAC
rnacentral:rRNA from 1 species